CUCCAGCCACCCGCCUGCCGGCCGGACGGGGUACCGCGGGUCAGUUGCUCAGUGGUGACCGGCGCCGUUCCCGUUACCGGCCCGGUGGGUGGCACACGGUCGAUGACGGGUCGUCAGAUCGCCCCAGGGCAGACUCGGCCACCCGCCUCGGCUGGAGAGGACGCCGCCGGCAGUGCCCCCAGGGCCCAGUUGGUGAGCCGCCACACCGGGUAGGCAGCAGCUGGACCGUGCCUGUGCUAUCGACUGAUCGGAGACUCCGCGGGGUCGUCACCUCGACUCCCGGCGCCGGCGCUCCGGCGACCGGGUGAAACUGACGUGACAGACACCGGUCGGCGUGCGAAAGGAUGUGGCACUUAGGCCCCGCCGGGCCGCUGCCAGGAAGGAGCGCAGAAAAGCGAAAGUUAAUGAGGUGCCGGUGAACUACGCA